GCACAUUAUACAACCAUUUCAAGCAUAAAUGUGUUGAAAAUCUAAAGCACAAAAAAUCACUGGGCGGCAAAACAAACUUUGGGCGGCAAAACAAACUUUGGGCGGCCAGAUCUGGAUUCAAUUUUUGAAUCCCUUUACUCAUCCCCAUCCCAAGACACUUUUAUUAUACGCUAGAAGAUCUGUUCCGAUUGUUUCUUCUUCCCAGAGAAACCCUAAAACACAAACCUCACAACCAUCUCCAAAAAGACACCGAUGAACUCAUUCACCGUCUCCACAACCCUAAACCAUAUUCCCCCUUUCUUCAAGGCCUUGUUUCUGAACCCCACGCUUCCAAUCGAGACCUGGAGUCUGAUAUUCAAGAGCUUGAUGACAACGAAGAAGAUGAUGAUGAGAACUGGAAGUCGCAACUAUCUAAACCGGAAGAUCACAGCAAUGGGGAGUGGGAUAUUCGAACUUCUGUUGGUAUGGAUUGCACUCUUCAUAACGAGAACUCAUAUCACCAGAUCCGGUUUCAGUGACACUCUUUUCAUUUUUGGGAGUAAAGAACAAGCAGAUCCAGUAUCCUAUAUGUUUGUAGAACUCAUAUCACCCCUGAUGAAGAUCUAGGAACUACAAAUCACUGCAGAACUUGAUUUCGUUUUCCUGUUGGAGCACCAUUACGUGGGAUAACUACAAAUCAGCUUAAGACAUAUGAUAAGUCCAGUGGUGAGGGCCCAGAUGGAGCAACGAAAAAAUACAGAACCUGGAUAACGAGCUUUAUUUGGAGGUCGGUGAUCUGAAUACUUAUUCUAUAAAUUAUGAUAGAAGUGGGACAUCAAAGGUUCAGAGAUCGAUGAAGGCUAUCUAUUUGAUUGAUGAUCUACUGGCUGCUGAAAUCAGUAUCAGUGGCAAACUACAAGUUCUCGACAAGUUGCUACUAGCGAUUAAAGGAUGCGAGUUAAGAGCACUUGUACUGUUUCAGUUGGCACUUAAUUCUGAAAAGGUAUCAACUGGACAUUUGUUAGAUGAUCUCUACCAUUGGGGCUACUGUACAUGGGAGGUUUCUAUGUAUUAUUGACUCCAAUUUGUAUUGUUUCAAUGGCAAAUAAAAGGGAGUUAACUGAUAGUCUUGAAGGAUUGGCUUUCUUAUUGUUUGAUCAGUGCUUUAAUAUGUUUAAAAAACGCUCCAAACAUACAUGCAAAGAAGGCCUCUUGUAACGCCCACCCCCCAGGGUGGUUGCUUUUCAACUGGAGUGAACAGGUAAUUAAUGAAAUUUAUGUAAAGAUGAUGAAGUUAAAGUAGCCAAUGCUGAUGCAAUAGAGUAUAGACGCG